AGAGUUUGAUCCUGGCUCAGGAUGAACGCUGGCGGCGUGCCUAAAACAUGCAAGUCGUGCGGUAACAGGGAGAGCUUGCUCUCUGCUGACGAGCGGCGGACGGCUGAGUAACGCGUGGGAAUCCACCCCAAAGUGAGGGAUAACUGCCCGAAAGGGUGGCUAAUACCGCAUAUGGUCUUCGGAUUAAAGCUUCGGCGCUUUGGGAAGAGCCCGCGUCAGAUUAGAUAGUUGGUGAGGUAAUGGCUCACCAAGUCGAUGAUCUGUAACUGGUUUGAGAGGAUGAUCAGUCAGACUGGAACUGAGAAACGGUCCAGACUCCUACGGGAGGCAGCAGUUAGGAAUAUUCCACAAUGGGGGCAACCCUGAUGGAGCAACGCCGCGUGGAGGAUGAAGGCCUUCGGGUUGUAAACUUCUUUUCUAUGCGAAGAAUAUGACGGUAACAUAGGAAUAAGGGUCUGCUAACUACGUGCCAGCCGCCGCGGUAAUAC
rnacentral:rRNA from 1 species